rnacentral:lncRNA from 1 species
CUCGGAUUCCUCAAGACGAAUAUUCAUCAUGAAGGUUAUGCUGGUUCUCGCUCUGGUGGCCUGUGCUGCUGCCAUGCCCUCUCCUCACCCCGGCUUCGUCUACUCCUACGGCCAUCCAUACGUCCACUCCUCCUACCCCGUCGUCAACUCUGCCAAGGCACAUACCCCUGCCAGCACCGUGCCCCUCGUCUACCCCUACGGUCAAAAUCUCCCCCAAACCUACACCUA